rnacentral:rRNA from 1 species
UGAUGGGGGUAACAGUUGGAAACGACUGCUAAUACCGAAUACGCUCAUGAUGAACUUUGUGAGGAAAGGUGGCCUCUGCUUGCAAGCUAUCGCAUAGAGAUGAGUCCGCGUCCCAUUAGCUAGUUGGUGGGGUAACGGCCUACCAAGGCAACGAUGGGUAGCCGAUCUGAGAGGAUGAUCGGCCACACUGGAACUGAAACACGGUCCAG